rnacentral:rRNA from 1 species
GAUGAACGCUGGCGGCGUGCCUAAUACGUGCAAGUCGAACGAAGAUCUAGCUUGCUAGAUCUUAGUGGCGAACGGGUGAGUAAUACAUAAAUAAUCUGCCCAUAUGACUGGGAUAACUAUUGGAAACGAUAGCUAAUACCGGAUAGGUUGAUCGGAGGCAUCUCUGAUGAAUUAAAGUAGGAUUUCUACACAAAUGGAUGAGUUUAUGGCGCAUUAGUUAGUUGGUGGGGUAACGGCCUACCAAGACGAUGAUGCGUAGCCGACCUGAGAGGGUGACCGGCCACACUGGGACUGAGACACGGCCCAGACUCCUAAGGGAGGCAGAAGUAGGGAAUUUUCGGCAAUGGACGCAAGCCUGACCGAGCAACGCCGCGUGAGUGAUUAAGGCCUUCGGGUUGUAAAGCUCUGUUGUAAGGGAAGAACAUUCAGGAUAGGAAAUGAUCUUGAACUGACGGUACCUUACCAGAAAGCCACGGCUAACUACGUGCCAGCCGCCGCAGUAA